GACAGAGGGUGCGAACGUUAUUCGGAAUCACUGGGCUUAAAGGGCGCGUAGGCGGUCUCGUAAGUCUGCGGUGAAAUCCUCCAGCUCAACUGGAGAACGGCCGUGGAUACUGCGAGUCUCGAGGGAGGUAGGGGCGUGCGGAACAGAUGGUGGAGCGGUGAAAUGCGUUGAUAUCAUCUGGAACUCCGGUGGCGAAGGCGGCACGCUGGACCUCUUCUGACGCUGAGGCGCGAAAGCCAGGGGAGCAAACGGG
rnacentral:rRNA from 1 species